GGAGGGGUGCAAGCGUUAAUCGGAAUUACUGGGCGUAAAGCGCACGCAGGCGGUUUGUUAAGUCAGAUGUGAAAUCCCCGGGCUCAACCUGGGAACUGCAUCUGAUACUGGCAAGCUUGAGUCUCGUAGAGGGGGGUAGAAUUCCAGGUGUAGCGGUGAAAUGCGUAGAGAUCUGGAGGAAUACCGGUGGCGAAGGCGGCCCCCCGGACGAAGACUGACGCUCAGGUGCGAAAGCGUGGGGAGCAAACAGGAUUAGAUACCCUGGUAGUCCACGCCGUAAACGAUGUCGACUUGGAGGUUGUGCCCUUGAGGCGUGGCUUCCGGAGCUAACGCGUUAAGUCGACCGCCUGGGGAGUACGGCCGCAAGGUUAA
rnacentral:rRNA from 1 species